GACGAACGCUGGCGGCGUGCUUAACACAUGCAAGUCGAACGGAAAGGCCCUGCUUUUGUGGGGUGCUCGAGUGGCGAACGGGUGAGUAACACGUGAGUAACCUGCCCUUGACUUUGGGAUAACUUCAGGAAACUGGGGCUAAUACCGGAUAGGAGCUCCUGCUGCAUGGUGGGGGUUGGAAAGUUUCGGCGGUUGGGGAUGGACUCGCGGCUUAUCAGCUUGUUGGUGGGGUAGUGGCUUACCAAGGCUUUGACGGGUAGCCGGCCUGAGAGGGUGACCGGCCACAUUGGGACUGAGAUGCGGCCCAGACUCCAACGGGAGGCAGGGGUGGAGAAUAUUGCACAAUGGGAGGAAGCCUGAUGCAGCAACGCCGCGUGCGGGAUGACGGCCUUCGGGUUGUAAACCGCUUUCGCCUGUGACGAAGCGUGAGUGACGGUAAUGGGUAAAGAAGCACCGGCUAACUACGUG
rnacentral:rRNA from 1 species